CCGCCCCCGCCCGGGGGAACUUUCCGCAAUGGGGUUAUUCCUGUUCGAGAAACAUUUCGUCGGUAGGAAGGAGUUUGGAUUGUCCCCUCUUUUCUCAAGGAAGAAGUUNUGACGGUACUUGAGGAAUCAGCCUUGUCUAAAUUCGUUCCAGCAGCCGCGGUAAUACGGGGGAGGCAAACGCUAUCCGGAAUUAUUGGGCGUAAAGCGUCCGCAGGUGGUCAGACAAGUAUCAGGUUGCUUAACGACCUAAAGGCGGUGGAAACUUGCAGACUAAAAAACAGUAUGGGUAGCCGGAAUUCCCAGUGUAGCGGUGAAAUGGGUAGNGNUUNCUUUCCCCAGUGGCGAAAU
rnacentral:rRNA from 1 species